AAGCGGUGGAUGAUGUGGUUUAAUUCGAUGCAACGCGAAAACCCUUACCCACCUUUGACAUGUACGGAAUCCUUUAGAGAUAGAGGAGUGCUCGAAAGAGAACCGUAACACAGGUGCUGCAUGGCUGUCGUCAGCUCGUGUCGUGAGAUGUUGGGUUAAGUCCCGCAACGAGCGCAACCCUUGUCAUUAGUUGCUACAUUUAGUUGGGCACUCUAAUGAGACUGCCGGUGACAAACCGGAGGAAGGUGGGGAUGACGUCAAGUCCUCAUGGCCCUUAUAGGUGGGGCUACACACGUCAUACAAUGGCUGGUACAGAGGGUUGCCAACCCGCGAGGGGGAGCCAAUCCCAUAAAGCCAGUCGUAGUCCGGAUCGCAGUCUGCAACUCGACUGCGUGAAGUCGGAAUCGCUAGUAAUCGCGGAUCAGAAUGUCGCGGUGAAUACGUUCCCGGGUCCUGUACACACCGCCCGUCACACCAUGGGAGCGGGUUCUGCCAGAAGUAGGUAGCCUAACCGUAGGAGGGCGCUUACCACGGCAGGGUUCGUGACUGGGGUGAAGUCGUAACAAGGUAGCCGUA
rnacentral:rRNA from 1 species